rnacentral:rRNA from 1 species
AAGCUCGUAGUUGAAUUUCGGCCUUAGUUUGUGAGGUCCAGCCUUCAUUGGUUGGUACCUUUACGAACUGGGCUCCACCUUCUGGGUUAGCUAGUUGUUACUUCGGUGCAGCUAGUGAACCAGAACUUUUACUUUGAAAAAAUUGGAGUGUUUAAAGCAGGCUUUUAAGCUUGAACAUAUUAGCAUGGAAUAAUGAAAUAGGACUUUGGCCUUAUUUCGUUGGUUUCUAAAGCCAAAGUAAUGAUUAAUAGGGAUAGUUGGGGUGAGCGGGCUGGCAAGGCAUGAUUAA